rnacentral:misc_RNA from 1 species
UCUUCCUUACGAAAGCAGUCUCGUGUGACACUUGUAACACACGAUAGGGGUUGCGCUCGUUAAUCCACUUAAGGAGACCUCUCACGAGACGAGCUGACGACAGCCGUGCAGCACCUGUCCAGCGGCCUUGCGGGGUCCUCCGUUUCUGGAGGAUUUCCACUGGAUUUCAAGCCUUGGUGAGGUUCUUCGCUUAGAGUCGAAUUGAACCGCAUGAUCCACCGCUUGUGCGAGUUCCCGCCUAUUUCUUUGAGUUUUAAUCUUGCGAUCGUACUUCCCAGGCGACAGAUUUAACGCGUUAGCUACGCCACUGGAAGGGUCGAUGCUCCCAAUAGCUAAUCUGCAUCGUUUAGGGCGUGGACUA